rnacentral:lncRNA from 1 species
CCCAGUCCCCAUGUAGUGAAAUGGACCCCAGUCCCCGUGUGGUGAACAGCAGCAACUCAGUGUGAUUGGCCACUGGCAGCAUUGUGAUAACUGUUAGGAGAUGUUUACGUUCAGAUGUUUCCUGGUAUUUUGUCUUCCAUGUAUGCUCUAUAGCAGGUUAUUCCUCCAUGUAUGCUCUAUAGCAGGUUAUUCCUCCAUGUAUGCUCUAUAACAGGUUAUUCCUCCAUGUAUGCUCUAUAGCAGGUUAUUCCUCCAUGUAUGCUCUAUAGCAGGUUAUUCCUCCAUGUUUGCUCUAUAACAGGUUAUUCCUCCAUGUUUGCUCUAUAACAGGUUAUUCCUCCAUGUUUGCUCUAUAACAGGUUAUUCCUCCAUGUAUGCUCUAUAGCAGGUUAUUCCUCCAUGUAUGCUCUAUAGCAGGUUAUUCCUCCAUGUAUGCUCUAUAG